AGAGUUUGAUCCUGGCUCAGAAUGAACGCUGGCGGCAUGCCUAACACAUGCAAGUCGAACGAACCCUUCGGGGUUAGUGGCGCACGGGUGCGUAACACGUGGGAAUCUGCCCUUUGCUUCGGAAUAACAGUUAGAAAUGACUGCUAAUACCGGAUAAUGUCUUCGGACCAAAGAUUUAUCGGCAAGGGAUGAGCCCGCGUAGGAUUAGCUUGUUGGUGAGGUAAAGGCUCACCAAGGCGACGAUCCUUAGCUGGUCUGAGAGGAAUAACCCCCACACUGGUACUGAGACACGGACCAGACUCCUACGGGAGGCAGCAGUGAGGAAUAUUGGUCAAUGGGCGAGAGCCUGAACCAGCCAUUCCGCGUGAAGGAAGAAGGCCUUACGGGUUGUAAACUUCUUUUCCAUCAGAAGAAUAAGCCUGACGAGCUCAGGUGAUGCCGGUAUGAUGGGAAUAAGCAUCGGCUAACUCCGUGCCAGCAGCCGCGGUAAUACGGAGGAUGCAAGCGUUAUCCGGAUUUAUUGGGUUUAAAGGGUGCGCAGGCGGUAUAAUAAGUCAGUGGUGAAAGUCUGCCGCUUAACGGUAGGAUUGCCAUUGAUACUGUUAGACUUGAGUAUGGGUGAGGUAGGUGGAAUGUGUAGUGUAGCGGUGAAAUGCAUAGAUAUUACACAGAACGUCGAUUGCGAAGGCAGCUUACUAAUCCAUUACUGACGCUGAGGCACGAAAGCGUGGGGAUCAAACAGGAUUAGAUACCCUGGUAGUCCACGCUGUAAACGAUGAUCACUCGCUGUUUGCGAUAUACGGCAAGCGGCUGAGCGAAAGCAAUAAGUGAUCCACCUGGGGAGUACGAUCGCAAGGUUGAACUUAAGGAUUGACGG
rnacentral:rRNA from 1 species